UUCCCCUCCGCCCCAGUGUAUACUCCUCCCCUACCGGCCCUCGCUAUAGCCUUCCACUGACCCCAGAGGUUGGCCGGUCUUCUUCAACACUUCCAUCCCAGCCUCUGACUGUAGCUUUCCACAACAUAUAUAACCUCACCCCCCAUUAAAUAUUAAGUGUGUUAGUCGCUCAGUCGUGUCGACUUUUUGCGACCCCAUGGACUGUAGCCCACCAGGCUCCUCUGUCCAUGGAAUUCUCCAGGCAAGGAUACUGGAGUGCUUUGCCAUUUCCUCCUCCAGGGAAUCUUCCUGACCCAGGGAUUGAACCCCGGGCCCCUGCACUGCACGGAGAUUCUUUUCCGUCUGAGCUACCAGGGAAGCCCUCCACUAAAUAUUGGUGGAAGGCAGUCCAACCACUCAGUGGUCUCAGUGUGGCCCUCCUCUACUCUGGGUGUGGAGGGGGAAUAGUGGGGGAGGAACAAAGGAUCAUUUUCUUCAAGGUUCUUGGAGUUGCCUAGUUUGAACUUUUUUAAAAUUCGGAUUUCUGGAUCCUCCCCCAGACUUUGUGAAGCGGUAUCUCAGAGGCUGGCCUUGGAAUCUGCAUUUGAACAAUAGGGACUAUUUAAGGUGUGAAACUUUGGCCCAAUGUUGCUGGUCUCGUGGUGGAGGAGAAAGGGGAAGAAAGGAAUGGUCCUCAUCACCCAGGUGGCCGCCUGAAGCUGGCUUUUGCCCUCUGGAAUUCUGAAGAUGCCUGAUGGAGAUACGUUUCACUGGAAGUCGUUGCCCUGGCACUUCUAUUACUUCUCAGUGAUGACCUCAGCUACCUUCGUCCUGGUUUUGGUGCGACUGGGGCCCAUGUUGGCAAGUCCUUGGCAAGACAGUGAAAUUUUGUUUACCUCCUAAUCCUCUACAAGAGAUGGCUUCUAAAUCUCACCUCUCCCAGCUCUCAGGCUGUGCUAGGGGGCUGACCCUGGGCAGCUGUUGCCUUGCACUGUCAGUUAUAAAUAAAUAAAAGCCCCCUUACUUCCUCCAGA